GCCUCUGUAGUUCAAUGGAUAGAACGGAAGUUUCCUAAACUUUAGAUUCGGGUUCGAUUCCCGGCGGAGGUA
rnacentral:tRNA from 1 species